ACCCUGACAAGCUUCCCGAGGGUGAAAGAGACCACUUUCCUGCCUCCAGGUGUCUGAAGUGGAACCCUUUCAGGGGCUCAAACCUCCCGCUUUUACUUCAAGAUUUUCAGCAUUCAGCACAACAUGAAAGCUCCUGGUACUGGUGGUGCGUGGCCUUUCAGAUACAGUAGGAACAAUCUGCAGCUGCAGAUGGGAACAGGUUGUUUCUGCCAUUUGUUAUUCUUUCCCCUAAUUAUAAUGCAGAUUGGACACUCUCUCCAGCAUUUCCUCCCUUUCUGUUUAUUUAAGCAGUAUUUUUGCAAACCUACAUGGCAAUCUCACCCUGGGAUGCAAGUGCACCAUUAUAAUCCAAAUGAACUGGGAUUUAUUGCAGUACUUUCCAGGGCUGAAGGCCUUUUCCCCGGCUCCCCUUCUGAUCGGCUGCCAGCGUUUAACCUCCGGGGGGGAAGCGGGGCCAGGCGUCGCGC
rnacentral:lncRNA from 1 species